rfam:Phytophthora infestans T30-4 supercont1.61 genomic scaffold, whole genome shotgun sequence.
GGACACGUAGCUCAAGUGGCAAAAGCACCGCGUUUUUAUGCGGAUGGACGCGGAUUCAAUUCCCGCCUUGUCCA